AGCGAACGCUGGCGGCAGGCCUAACACAUGCAAGUCGAACGGAUCCUUCGGGAUUAGUGGCGGACGGGUGAGUAACACGUGGGAACGUGCCUUUUGGUUCGGAACAACUCAGGGAAACUUGAGCUAAUACCGGAUAAGCCCUUCGGGGGAAAGAUUUAUCGCCAUUAGAGCGGCCCGCGUCUGAUUAGCUAGUUGGUGAGGUAAAGGCUCACCAAGGCUACGAUCAGUAGCUGGUCUGAGAGGAUGAUCAGCCACAUUGGGACUGAGACACGGCCCAAACUCCUACGGGAGGGCAGCAGUGGGGAAUCUUGCGCAAUGGGCGAAAGCCUGACGCAGCCAUGCCGCGUGAAUGAUGAAGGUCUUA
rnacentral:rRNA from 1 species